GACGAACGCUGGCGGCGUGCCUAAUACAUGCAAGUCGAACGCUUUUUCUUUCACCGGAGCUUGCUCCAUCGAAAGAAAAAGAGUGGCGAACGGGUGAGUAACACGUGGGUAACCUGCCCAUCAGAAGGGGAUAACACUUGGAAACAGGUGCUAAUACCGUAUAACACUAUUUUCCGCAUGGAAGAAAGUUGAAAGGCGCUUUUGCGUCACUGAUGGAUGGACCCGCGGUGCAUUAGCUAGUUGGUGAGGUAACGGCUCACCAAGGCAACGAUGCACGUCGGACCGGGGAGGGUGAUCGGCCACACUGGGACUGAGACACGGCCCAGACUCCUACGGGAGGCAGCAGUAGGGAAUCUUCGGCAAUGGACGAAAGUCUGACCGAGCAACGCCGCGUGAGUGAAGAGGGUUUUCGGAUCGUAAAACUCUGUUGUUAGAGAAGAACAAGGAUGAGAGUAAAAUGUUCAUCCCUUGACGGUAUCUAACCAGAAAGCCACGGCUAACUACGUGCCAGCCGCCGCAGUAA
rnacentral:rRNA from 1 species